CUGAAUUAUACGGCCAAAGAUACAAGUUGUUUGUACUGCUGGCCAUGAAUCUCUUGACUAAGUACUCUCUACAUGAAUCCGGUUCCCUACAAAUUAAUGCUUUGUUGACCAGGGAGGAAGACACGAAACGGAAUCUGUUUGACAAUUGAUCAUUCCCGCGCAUGAAAUUGUCAUACAAGAACCUUCAAUAAAAACAUAAUAAACAUUAGACUAUUUUUAUUGAAAUGUGUAAAUAAAUUGUUCAAGUAAUUAAAUAAUAUAUAGAUCGGAUUACCGGAUGUAUGUGUGUAUAACACCGACGCCUAAUUCUUGAUGCCGAAAAAAUAUGUUCCAGAUCUUCUUUUCCGAUUGUUUCAGUGCAUGAAUAACCAAAGAUAUCUUCCUCCAUAUCCAGUAAGCGAAUAGCAC
rnacentral:lncRNA from 1 species